AGAGCGAACGCUGGCGGCAUGCUUAACACAUGCAAGUCGCACGGGCACUUCGGUGUCAGUGGCGGACGGGUGAGUAACGCGUAGGUAUCUAUCCUUGGGUGGGGGACAACGGUUGGAAACGACUGCUAAUACCGCAUAAUAACUGAGGUUUAAAGGCGCAAGUCGCCUGAGGAGGAGCCUGCGUACGAUUAGCUAGUUGGUGGGGUAAAGGCCUACCAAGGCGACGAUCGUUAGCUGGUCUGAGAGGAUGAUCAGCCACAUUGGGACUGAGACACGGCCCAAACUCCUACGGGAGGCAGCAGUGGGGAAUAUUGGACAAUGGGCGAAAGCCUGAUCCAGCAAUGCCGCGUGUGUGAAGAAGGUCUUCGGAUUGUAAAGCACUUUCGACAGGGACGAUGAUGACGGUACCUGUAGAAGAAGCCCGGCUAACUUCGCGCCAGCAGCCGC
rnacentral:rRNA from 1 species